ensembl:snRNA U2 U2 spliceosomal RNA
AUCACUUCUUGGCCUUUUGGCUAAGAUCAGGUUUAGUAUCUGUUCUUACCAGUUUAAUACAAUCGUGAAAAAUAAGGAGAAAUCCAUCAUCUCCAACAAUAGAUAUUUUCAGUGAUGAUGUAAGAGGAUUAAUGUAGGCAAUAAAAUUGUU